rnacentral:lncRNA from 1 species
AACUAACAUUCUUACUUUCUAAUGGAAGCAUUACCACAAGACUUGCAGGAGUGUUUUGUCACUAGAAAAGAUAAAUCCAACCUUGCCGUUGAAGAUACCUUAUAAUCUCCAUGUACUGGAAACUCAAGCAGAGAGAUAUUAAGGGCAGAACAAAUGAAAGCCACUAGAAACUAGCACAAAACUUAGGUAGGUUGAUCAUCGCUUAUCCCUUGUCUUCUCUCCCGUGAAGUAAUCACAGUUUUGAUGACUGGAUCUACCAAAAAUAUUUCUUUUUUCAAACCAUCCACAUAUGUUUGUUUCUCAAGGAGACAGAUUCCUUUUCCAGAGAGGAAAAAUAUAUUGAGAAAAGAAAUUGUGAAGGCAAGUUUUAUUCUACAAGAGUGACUCCUUAUAUGCCUAUCAAUAUUGAACUGUGUUACCGUCCAGUAGACCAAAACCCAACAAGAGAAACACCUAACCUGCACCAACAAAUCCUAGAAAAGACACACAAACAGAAUGUUUCCAAUAGCAUGACUGAGACAGCGACAGAUUCUCUGCCCCUGCAGGACAG